AGUGAACGCUGGCGGUAGGCCUAACACAUGCAAGUCGAACGGCAGCACAGUAAUAGCUUGCUCUUACGGGUGGCGAGUGGCGGACGGGUGAGGAAUACAUCGGAAUCUACUUUUUCGUGGGGGAUAACGUAGGGAAACUUACGCUAAUACCGCAUACGACCUACGGGUGAAAGCAGGGGAUCUUCGGCCCUUGCGCGAUUGAAUGAGCCGAUGUCGGAUUAGCUAGUUGGCGGGGUAAAGGCCCACCAAGGCGACAAUCCGUAGCUGGUCUGAGAGGAUGAUCAGCAACACUGGAACUGAGACACGGUCCAGACUCCUACGGGAGGCAGCAGUGGGGAAUAUUGGACAAUGGGCGCAAGCCUGAUCCAGCCAUACCGCGUGGGUGAAGAAGGCCUUCGGGUUGUAAAGCCCUUUUGUUGGGAAAGAAAAGCAGCAGGUUAAUACCCCGCUGUUCUGACGGUACCCAAAGAAUAAGCACCGGCUAACUUCGUG
rnacentral:rRNA from 1 species